GGCUAGGCUGAUCUGGUGCUGCAUGUACGACCUCAUCACUUGCCAGGGCUGAGCUGGCUGAUCUGAGGGGCGAGGCUGGUGUCCCCUUCCGUCUGGCCCUCAUUAACAUGGGGGCAGCCCUCUAGGAGCUGUAUGCUUGGUCAAAGAGGGUGCUCUUCCCGGGAAGGAAGAGCUGUCCUUUGGUCAAGGGUACACAGAU
rnacentral:snRNA from 1 species